UGGGGAAUAUUGGACAAUGGGCGGAAGCCUGAUCCAGCAACGCCGCGUGAGGGAUGACGGCCUUCGGGUUGUAAACCUCUUUCAGUACCGACGAAGCGAAAGUGACGGUAGGUACAGAAGAAGGACCGGCCAACUACGUGCCAGCAGCCGCGGUAAUACGUAGGGUCCGAGCGUUGUCCGGAAUUAUUGGGCGUAAAGGGCUCGUAGGCGGUUUGUCGCGUCGGGAGUGAAAACCAUGGGCUUAACUCAUGGCUUGCUUUCGAUACGGGCAGACUAGAGGUAUGCAGGGGAGAAUGGAAUUCCUGGUGUAGCGGUGAAAUGCGCAGAUAUCAGGAGGAACACCGGUGGCGAAGGCGGUUCUCUGGGCAUUACCUGACGCUGAGGAGCGAAAGUGUGGGGAGCGAACAGG
rnacentral:rRNA from 1 species